AUCAUGGUCAUUUCUUGCAGUUCCUGUUCUUCCACCAGACAGCAGUGCUUGGAGGCUGAACUGUAAUUGCUCACAUCUGCUCAUUAGAUCAGAGAGUAGGCACCAAGGCCCAGCAUGCUGUCCAGGAAAAAUCAGUGCAGUUGCCAUCAGAAGAACCGGGAAAAUCAGAAGACAGAGGAAGACAACAUGAAGAUAUAAGGAAAAGGACAUGUGAACAUUAAGACCAACCGCCAUCCACAAGCCAGGGAGAAAUGUCUGGAACAGAUCCUUGCCUCUCAGCUCUCAAAAGGAACCGACUCUGCCAACAAUUUAAUUUUGAAUUUCUAGUCUUCAGAACUAGGAGAUAAUACAUUUCUAUUAUUCAAGCCACCUGUUCUGUGGCUGUACAUGUGAGAGAGGGUGACAGAUUCCCAAAGGGUCCUUCAAGAUGGCAGCAGAAAAGCCAGAGGUCGGAAUGCAAGAGAUAAGGGGUGAAGUCGAUGUGAGGGGCUAUCAGGAUGCACCUGCGAGCAGAGGUACUGGCUGCAGCAGUGUCUGCAGUGGAAGGUGAGCCAAGGGGAAGAGACAGGGUGCGGGAAGAAACUACCACAUCUCAACAUGUCAGUGCUAACCGACUUGUAGUGGCUGCUGGGAGUCUGGGAUUAAGAAGAAUCCAUAAGCUGAGUCUGGACUUAUCAGCAAAGAACCCCAUGUCCAUGAGGAAUGAAGUUGAGGAGGACUGUAGUGAACAGAGCCGCCGGAAAGCAGCACAACAGUUUGAAAAUGCUCUCACUCACAGGAAUGUUUAGAUUCCACUAUAAGAUGUAAUACAGAACAACAUUCUUUUGUCAGUGUCCGACAAAACAAAUCUUUCAUGAGUUGGAUUGGCAGAUAAUAACCAGUUCCUUUGGAUUCAUGUGCUUUCGAUCAAAGAGAAUAAACCAUAAGAAGAAUGGCAAUGAGUGUUUUCCACAUUAAUAUCAUCAGAUGGUGACAUGAUAUUGACUUUUCAGAGAAGGAAAAAGAGGUUUGUGAGUUAUGCAUAGUUCAUAGAUUUCUGAGUCUUAUAGCAUUCUGGACACAGGUCUUAUUCGAGCUACAUCCCCAUGCCAUAGAGCGUUGAGAAGGUCAGAUCCUAUGGUAUGUGUGAAGCUCCUUGGAUGGGAGAAGUAUACAUUCUUCUGGAUGCUGUUUGUCAUCUGUCCCUCAGAAUUCCUUCCCUGGCUUUGCCUCUGCCAACCAAGUGUGUUUUGUCAACACUUUUGCUGACUUCUUUCUCCUUCCUUCAGGCAUAAGCUACCCUAUUUUCCACAGCAAUUCUGUCACAACAAAGCUGCUAUUGUCACAGGAUUUUAAUAAAGAUUUGGGAAUAGUAGAAGGAUCAGAAUACAGAGGAGAAGCUAACUGGAUGGCUGACCUCAGUAUUCCUAAAGAACAUGGCCAGUUCUUCUCUAGGAGAACCCAUUAGUGGCCAUCUUUCUCUUCAGCCGUAAUUGUCUCGGGUUACUGGGGGGGUCUGCAAGUUCCCAUCUUCCCACUUCCUACAUUUCGUGGGGUCCCUAAUACUUCCUUCCCUUCUAGCUGCCAGGGGGGAAGUCAAGAAUCCUUGUAAUUUUAUCAUACAACAUACAAUCUGGCUUCUACCCUUUCUCAGUAUCUUCCUUCCAGACUAGCCCACAGGCCGUUCUUUACCAGAAUGACAAUAAGACUUGGAAAUAAAUCCUCCCAAAGAAAAGUGAUAAAUCCUGCUAACUGUUUAGAACACAGCUCCAGUGUUUUCACUUAAAAAAAAAUUUUAAAGGCAAUUUUAUUUUCCUCAUAUACAAACAAAACUCCAAUUUUCCAAAAUAGGCCUGGAUCUAAUUUAAGUUUGAAGCCUAUGGAAUAUUCUAGAGAAAUGUCAGAAUUUUGGAUGGCCACAGAGGCUGAGGCUGGUGGAAAAAAGAUUUUUUAAUGGAAGAAUAUUUAAGUUUAUCUAUAAGCCAGAACAGAGGAGGAACAUCAGGACAUUGUCCCCCUCCCCAGAGUACUGGAGAGAACCCAGCACCAGAAAUUGUAAUUAUGAUGAUUUUACUAAUGAAUCUUAUAGCUUAGAGAUGUGUAAUAAAGACACUGAAAUAAAGACAUUUUAAAAACAAAUUGAAUAUUUAACUAGGUAAAAGAAAGGGUGAGUGGAAGAAACACAGAACAAUAUUAUUAAUUAAAAAUCUUGAGUCAUGAACUAAGACCUUAAACCUUUUACUCUGGGAUUAGAAAGUCCAAUUAUUUCCCCCAAGAGUUUGCUUCCCACUCUAAGUUGCGAUGAAAUAAACUUCCUGGUGUGGGCGGUAGAAUUUGAGAGGAUUUAUUUCUUUUCAAGUUGAAGGGCAUUUGGAAAAAGCAGACCUUUGUUAUUGAUGCUCAAAAGCACUCAGGUGUUUUAUUUGGCGUCACUGAUGAUGAAUAAGAGAUUUUGUGUGACAGAGAAAGCUACCUGUCCUACCAAAUGUCAAAUCACAGCACUUUGGAGGGCCCUGGGUAGGGACAUACUUAUGCCAGGUGAAAAAUGGCAUCCCAAACCAUAAUGCAUGUGCUGAAAUUAAUUAAAAUUAUAGAGGAAACCUACGCAUCCACAAGCAAAUAUUGACUCUCUGAGAACAUUGCUAAUGUUCUCAGUUAGAGGUAAACUAGGAAGAAAAAUGGUCUUGAAAAAGUUAUUCUGAAAUUGGAUUAGUUUCCCAUUCAAGAAAUAUCAUUGUGUUCCCCUCAAAGUGAUUUUCCAAGUCAAUAAUGUUCAUAGAACUCUUCAUAAUACUUUGAAAUGACACAUUCUUUUGCAUAGCAUUCUUGCAGGAAAUUGAUUUUUAUUCUCCAAACACCAAAGUUGCAUCUGGCGUAGCCAGGAACUCGGGGACAGACGUCCUUGUGAAUAGAGUUUUGCCCGGUCAUUCCUAAGAAUGAGUCAGAGAACUGGCUCAAGCUAAGGAGUGUUGGGUUUGGGAUUGGCCAUGCUCUGGGCGUCAACCUCAGUGUGGGCCCUAUUGCCAAGUCUGCUGUUCUGAAAAUGAAAUGUGCUCAGCUCCUUGCAGAUAAUAUCCCCUCAUCUUUGCCACAGAGUCCUUGCACGGUGGUACCGAGUAAAUUCUGUGGCUUUGAUGGUCCCCAUCCAUCCACAUGUUACUUCUCAAGUCCCCCACCCUCCACAUCCUAUAAAAUGCCGUCUGUAGAAAUCUUUACUGGCACAAAUAUCACCCCAGGUUUCAAACCUGCUUCUGACUGGAAGGAUUCCGACUGGCCCUGUUCUGCGUGGUGCGGCCGGCCAGCAUCUAGCUUUGGCCCGGCUUGCAGGCUCACCAAACUCUUCCACCUGCUCUGGGUACUGUAGCCCCAGCUGAAGCCAUGCUCCCUCCUCCAGCCAGCAUGAGUUUCCCAGGCAAAGUCCUCCAGGUCAGCUCAGAGGUCUUGAACAUUCUUUUCUUGGAAGAGAGAAUGAUUACUUCAGCCUGGUUCGAGCAUUUAAGAAGCUGAAGUCAGCUCUGUCUCUUUCAGCCUUACUGUGAUCUGGUGGCUUCUUGCCUUGAGGAUGUGACUUACGCCACCGUGCCACCAACUAGGUCCUUGCCCCAUCUGCCUCGCAGCUGCAGCUGGGUUGGAGUCCUUAUCUUGACUACUCAACCGCUACCCAAGCUUCUCUGGGACUGACUGGAAGUACUGCUUAUUCUUAACCCUCCUCUCUAGUGAACAGAGACCUGUCCUUAGGUCCAAGUCCCCAUGUCUGAGUGGCUGACGCCCAUGACCAGACCCAGUCCAGGGUUGGUUUCCUUCCUAGUUGGUACUUUCUCCUUACUUCACUGUAGCCAGCCCCAUGUAGCUUGGCUGCUACCCCUCUCUGCCCACUUGCCUCAGCUCAUGUCAAUGGGCUAUCACUCUAAUGGCACCUUCUCCCUGUCCCCAGGGUCUUGCUGGCUCUCUGUCAUAGCCAUCUCUUUCUUUUUUAAUAGCACAUCAAUCCAGUAACAAUAAAAUUAUGUGAGCUUUAUUGAACACUUCCUAAGUACCAAUAUUUGACUUCUUAUCUCUAAGUCUCAGGACAUCUUCAGGAAUGUCUCAUCAUCCCAUCUUCAUGAUGAGAAAAACGAGUCUUGGAGACCAUCAAACCAGAAGGUCGCUGAGUUGGAAUUGGGCUGGAUCUGGCAUCAAAACCAAGCUCCUGCAUUUUACCAAACUGCCCCCCCCUUUGAGAAGAGUUGCUGCAUUUAAUCUUUAAACCUGACCAGUACUAUUAUGUUCAUGUACAGCUGAGUAUGCUGAGACUCGGGGACCUCAUGAGUGAGGAAGCCAAGACAUGAGUCAAAUCUGACUCUGGAAAUGUUCCUCUUUCCACUACGGGAUGCUGUCUUCUACAAUGGCACCUACUUUUUAAUAAGUUGCAUACUUGCUUUGUGAACACUCAGAGUUUACCCUGCUACCAUUUUAAGUGCCUCUAUAAUAAAGUCUUUUGUU